CUACUGCUAUAACCGAAUGGGAAAGAGUGAUUUUCCAUUGAGUGAUACUCAAUAGUUCUUUUAUAACUACAUACGAAGUGGAUUUCCAGUAUUCGGCUUUUAGGGUCUGACAGCAUGGAAACUGCAAACUGCUGGUGGCAGCUGUAAAGGGGAUUUUUAUGUAGAAGACCUACAGGACUUGCAUGGGAAUCACCUGAUUGACACCCAUAACAGACAGGGUUUACUGGAGUCUUAACCCAAAGACACCAUCAGCCACACAGUCUCCAUGCUACCACUCCUGGUCUGUGGCUGAUGUCGCCUGCCUUCCCUGGGAGAGCAUUAGUGAUGUAGGGUGUGUCCAUUCAGUCCUGUUCAGAUGGCAAAACAAGAAUCAGGGGAGCGUGGAGCUGCAGACGAGCUACAUACACACCCAAGUCAUGACCAGAGUAGAUGUAGAUGACCACACCGGAACAAUAGUAGCCUUGAGGAAGCAGAAAAGGCCUGCAGCAGAGAAAGUUCACAAGCCAAUGAAGGAAUGUUGUCCACUUAAGAGAGGCUUGUAGAGAGCCUCAUUGGUCGCAUUGUGUCUUUAUCUUGUCAGAGAUGAGGACCUUUUGUACUGCAGAUGAUAUGUUAGCGUAUUUCCUCUACUUGUUUGUCUCCAUUCAUAUUGUGAUUGCUGGAUGAUAACAUUUCAAGCAUUCAAAGUCUACAUGUCUGUGUAAAAAGCAAACCAUAAAUAAGACAACUGUCAUGCAGAUAGUGAUUAUGUGUUUGCCUAGUGAAGUUGUGUGUCUGCAUCUGCACCUGUGUGUUUGAAGGAUUUCAAAUGAUUAGUAUUGUUUAGCGCGGCAACCAUUUAAAGGUCUAUAAUUCUUUAUUUGCCCACAUUUAGCAUCUGCUUGCCUCCUGCCUGUUAUAAAGAGAAUGGUUAGCCUAAUCAGGGUCUUCUGUGGGGGUGGGCUGGGCUUAUUUGCCAAUUGACAUUUGGUGAAAGGGUGUUAGAUGAAAAAAGCACCUCACACCAUGAGGUAGAAGCCUCACACCAAAACUCAUUUCAGACAUGUUGUGUUUGUGUGUAAAGAGGAGCUUGUGUUUGUGUGUAAAGAGGAACUCGUUUUGCCACUGUCUACUCAGAGCAGAACACACUCUCUCCGAGCUGUGUGAAGUGUGUUGAUCUGUGCCCAUAAACUUUUGUUUAAAAACUGUUUUAUGUA